UACGUAGGGGGCUAGCCGUUGUCCGGAAUCAUUGGGCGUAAAGAGCGUGUAGGCGGCUUGGUAAGUCCGCUGUGAAAGUCCAGGGCUCAACCCUGGAAUGCCAGUGGAUACUGUCAAGCUAGAGUCCGGAAGAGGCGAGUGGAAUUCCUGGUGUAGCGGUGAAAUGCGCAGAUAUCAGGAGGAACACCAGUGGCGAAGGCGGCUCACUGGCCCAUUACUGACGCUGAGGCACGAAAGCGUGGGGAGCAAACAGG
rnacentral:rRNA from 1 species